UGGGGAAUAUUGCACAAUGGGCGCAAGCCUGAUGCAGCCAUGCCGCGUGUAUGAAGAAUGCCUUCGGGUUGUAAAGUACUUUCAGCGGGGAGGAAGGGAGUAAAGUUAAUACCUUUGCUCAUUGACGUUACCCGCAGAAGAAGCACCGGCUAACUCCGUGCCAGCAGCCGCGGUAAUACGGAGGGUGCAAGCGUUAAUCGGAAUUACUGGGCGUAAAGCGCACGCAGGCGGUUUGUUAAGUCAGAUGUGAAAUCCCCGGGCUCAACCUGGGAACUGCAUCUGAUACUGGCAAGCUUGAGUCUCGUAGAGGGGGGUAGAAUUCCAGGUGUAGCGGUGAAAUGCGUAGAGAUCUGGAGGAAUACCGGUGGCGAAGGCGGCCCCCUGGACAAAGACUGACGCUCAGGUGCGAAAGCGUGGGGAGCAAACAGG
rnacentral:rRNA from 1 species